rnacentral:lncRNA from 1 species
GUCUUUCCACCACGUUCUCGUGAAUAAUCAACAUGUCAACAUCACAUAAUUAAAAACAAAUAUAAAAAAUAGUAUUAACUUUUUCUCUGAAUAUCUUUUUCUUAACCAAUAAUUAGACAAUAUAUAUUUCAGAAAGAAAAGAAAAAGAAUUAAUGCAAAAUAUCAAAGUUAAUAACCAAGAUAUACCUGAUGCAUUCCAUCUUCCUCCAUGAUAUAUCAUGAUUGAGUGCAAAUUAGCACAAUUCAUAUUUGUGUGUCUCGUUUUUUUAUUUUUUGCAGAACUAUUGA